rnacentral:tRNA from 1 species
GAGGGUAUAGCUCAAGUGAUAGGAGUGCAUGCUUAGCAUGCAUGAGGUCCUGGGUUCAAUCCCCAGCACUUCCA